UACGAAGGGGCGAGCGUUGUUCGGAUUUACUGGGCGUAAAGGGCGCGUAGGCGGCCCGCUAAGUCGAACGUGAAAUCCCCGAGCUCAACUCGGGAACUGCGUCCGAUACUGGCGGGCUUGAAUCCGGGAGAGGGAUGCGGAAUUCCAGGUGUAGCGGUGAAAUGCGUAGAUAUCUGGAGGAACACCGGUGGCGAAGGCGGCAUCCUGGACCGGCAUUGACGCUGAGGCGCGAAAGCCAGGGGAGCAAACGGG
rnacentral:rRNA from 1 species